rnacentral:misc_RNA from 1 species
UGCAAUCCUUAGUAUCUCAGAACCAAGUUCAUCCAUCUUGAAAACUAGUCUUGCAUCUCUAAAGAAAACCAGGAUUGGCAUCUUCCAUUUUCUCUCAGCUAGCUGCAAAGCUUUAUCCUCAGCCAUGGUAUCAAAUCAAGUCCUCACUUGUUUGGAGUGCAAAUAAGUCAAUUUAGCUUGUGGGGAUACCGAAAAAAGGAUUCAAUUCUCACAAGCUAAUAAUCUCUGUAACCUUGUUUUUAAGAUGAUUUCGGAAGGGAGAUGCUGUAGAAAGGCGACAG